GUGCAGUGUAUAUGUAUGCGGUAGUUUGUUGAAUUUUAGGAGUUCAAGAGUGUCCUUCUCAAACCAUCUGUCUUCCUAAAAGGCUGGGAUUAAAAGUGUGGAACCCAGGUUUCCCAGGUUCGGAUCUUCCCUCUUAUAGUCUCUGCGACCUUGAGCAAUUCCUGAGGAGAGAUGUCAACAUAGCGAGCUCUGAGGAUGCAGGAUGGCGACCCAGCUGAUGCAGAAUGGUGACCCAGCUGACCAAGGGGCACUGUCCUCCACCGGCUCACUGUGAUGGCGGGGGGGGGGGGGGGGGGGUGCGGGGGCGGAUGGAGGGGACUGCACCUUCCUGUCUGUCUACCUUGCUUGGCUUGGCUUUGGGACAUUGCUUCCCAGGACAGUUCCCAAUGUGAAAUUCUCCCUGAUUAUAAAAAUAAAAAGGAAUCAGAACUGCUGCAUCCCACUGACUUUAUUUUUAAAAAUCA
ensembl:lncRNA